rnacentral:sRNA from 1 species
UAUUCAAACGGCAGUAUGAAAACCACAUAUUUGUUGGCUCAAAAACUGCAGAUCCUUGCUGUUAUGGUCACACCCAGUUUCAUCUGUUACCUGACAAAUUAAGAAGGGAAAGGCUUUUGAGACAAAACUGUGCUGAUCAGAUAGAAGUUGUUUUUAGAGCUAAUGCUAUUGCAAGCCUUUUUGCUUGGACUGGAGCACAAGCUAUGUAUCAAGGUAAAAACUAAUUUUAUAGCAUUUUCUUUGAAGGUAUUUGUAACAUUCUAAGAAUAUAAUGGUUAAAAUUUUUUCUUUGGGUUAAAACAUAGGUUGAAUCUUAACAUUUUUAAACUUUUGCAUUGGCACAAAGUACAGUUGUUUUAAAAUCCUCGUUUAAAUACUAUACAUUUGAAAUCUGACACUGAGGUAGUUGUUUUUGUCUUUUACUUUGACCAUCUUCUGUGUGAAUGUACUUUUGCACACAUUUCAAAGACUGUAGCCAACUAAGUCAACCCUUUCUAGAUAAUAGCUUUCUGCAGGUAGAAAAGGUAAUGAUUUUGUGGAUUAAAUAUUUAUAUUACAUC